UCGGCCGGUUACGUCACAGCGCCGCGACUCGGCCUGUCCCAAUUCGAAGACUCCUUCAAAUGCGGUCGACGAAUGCGGCCUUCUUUUCGCCUGAAUGAAGGAUGGGUCGGGUGUAUCCUUCAAUAGGUAGCAUUUCCCAAGAUGCCUUGCGGGCCGGCCGGCAGAAAAACUUAAAAACAAUGGCGGACAGUGAAGCGGGAGCUGUCGGAGAGGAUUGCGCUUAUAAAUGACCAAAAGAGAAAACCAGGGAAUUUAUUAAGCUUAGGGCGGAGAUGGACCACAUGAUCACCGGAGCAAAGUAUUCGGCGGCUGUGGCAUGGAGACUAUUCUGGAGAAAAUGGGCAUCCAGGGGAAGGUGCCAGCGAUGAGCUUCUGGAGCUGAUCAGGGAGGAUAUGAGGCUGCAGAGCAGCAGAGAGCACAGGAGAGAAGGAAGAACUUUGACAGCUUUUUACUUUGCUAGAAAAAAAUGGUUAAUGAAGAUUAAACAUGUACAUGUAAAAGAAAUAUCUAAAUAAAAUCAGUUCUGCAUUAAA